rnacentral:misc_RNA from 1 species
AUCCCAUUUCAGAGCUCUUCAGGUGCACCUCUGUGAUGUUCUAGGAUUUACAGUGGAUAAUUUAGGAUAGACGUCUUCCCCAGAAAAAGCUCUGGUGCUAAUUCUCUAAGUGCCAGUAACCUUGCUAGACAUAGUAUUUUCAUCAGGACUCGGUGGAAUAAAUGGUUCAUGUUCACUGGUUUCUUUUCAAUCCUUUUGAUGUACUGUUGGCAUUAGUAGUGAGGGAUUGCAGGGGUGGACAGGAGUGGACUUAGCUCUGAAUUUGCAUAUUCUGCUUUUGUGAACUGUGUUGGAUGCUUCAAGAACAAAUUGUGGUCAUCCGUACUAAUUUUGCCAAAUAAUAAGUGGUUCAUGUUUCAGAAAAAGAGAAUCUGUGUUUAUAACGUUGUGGUGCAGUCUGUGGUGCACCACAGACUGUGGAGCACAUAAUUUAUCUUUUUCUUUUUCUUCUUUGCAGAUGAGUAUGUAGCCUGCCUGUGUUGGAUUUGACUUCUGCAAAUUUGGCAUGAUUGGUCCCCAGCAACCAGCCCUUAUAAAGGAUGUUGGGUUGGGGUUAGGGAUAUAUAUGAUCAAUCCCUACUAGUUUGGAACAGAAACUUUGUUAUAUUGAUUUGAAUAUCAGAUAACAAUCUUCAUAGAAUGCUAAUGCAGAAUCAAGU